CUCAAAGUUAACGAUAAGCGAUAGCUAUUGAAGUCGAUUCCGGGAAGUUUGACUGUUCUAGUCUCGCACUUCAAGGAACACAUCAAACAAGAAGGAUUGCGAACAGUGGCUAACCUGUCAGGAGACAACAUGUCUGCCCAGUUUGUAGAGGCGGGCAUGCUUAGGUUCCACUCCGAGUGCAAAGAGAUCACCGAUACUGUUUUCAGUAAUGAUCAGCUAUUUAGCAGUGCUCUAGAUGAGGCCUGUGCUGCAGUCGCCACCCAUCGCCCUAAUUAUUAACCCUAAUUAUUAAACAACCUUGAAGAUUCUUCGCCACAUCGACUUAAUUCAGGAGGUGUUGAGCCAGAUCUAAACCCGAUUCGCUCCUUCUAUUAGCUUGAUAAAAACGUGCAUUGCGACACUGAUUGAAAAGGAGUACCUGGAGCGGACCUCAAGUUUGAUGUACGAAUAUAGCUAUAAUGUGGCGUAAAAAAUGC